CUACGGGACGCUGCAGUGGGGGAUAUUGCACAAUGGGCGAAAGCCUGAUGCAGCAACGCCGCGUGAAGGAAGACGGUUUUCGGAUUGUAAACUUCUAUCAGCAGGGAAGAAAAUGACUGUACCUGACUAAGAAGCCCCGGCUAACUACGUGCCAGCAGCCGCGGUAAUACGUAGGGGGCAAGCGUUAUCCGGAUUUACUGGGUGUAAAGGGUACGUAGGCGGUUUAUUAAGUCAGAUGUGAAAGCCCGGGGCUCAACCCCGGGACUGCAUUUGAAACUGGUGAACUAGAGUACAGGAGAGGUAAGUGGAAUUCCUAGUGUAGCGGUGAAAUGCGUAGAUAUUAGGAAGAACACCAGUGGCGAAGGCGGCUUACUGGACUGUAACUGACGCUGAGGUACGAAAGCGUGGGGAGCGAACAGGAUUAGAUACCCCCGUAGUC
rnacentral:rRNA from 1 species